GAAAUUCAGACUGUUUCAGGAGAUUCUCGGUUGUUGCUGUUAAUAAUCACUUUCUUCAGGACAAUGCUGUGUUGGUUGGUAUCACAGCAUGCACUGAGUGCAAGCGAACACCUUCAGCCAGACACCACCAAAAAGAAAACAAAAUGACCGUCUGCUCAGGAACUAGACUUGGAAAGAUGUACAGUAAGUCUUGGGCAAGAGGUAAAUAAUAAACAAACCAAAAUACAAAAAAGUCUUCUGUACCUUCCUGAACCUGGAAGAGAUGUUAAGGCACAUAUGAGAUGAGUUUAUUCCUCAUGUAAAUUUAAACUUUGUAAUUGUAGUCGCACUGUAAUUUAGGCUUUUAAAUGACAAUUUCCAUCAAAUAACAUAUUAGGCAUCUAGAAAGGACCACUGAGAUAAGGUAAAGGAACUUUCUUGUGAGUCACGGCUGUAAUAGCCAGUUAGCCAUCCAGUCAGUCAGUGUGCCAGAAAGGCACCAUGGAUUCUGAAUUAAUACAUGUUGCAGCUUUCUCCAACGUAAAAUGUGGCAAAUGGGGAAAGAAGUGAAGAUGAGGCAAUGCUAGAAUAGCUUGCAAUGUAGGUAAGUUUUUCAUAAUACGACACUGUCCUGCCAAAAGCUCGGGAUGCAGAGUCAUUAAUAAGAAAUCUUAAUUCUUCUUGGAUUUGAAGUAAAGAAAGACUGGAAAUUGGUGUUUUUUUUUUU
rnacentral:lncRNA from 1 species